AUCUACGGCCAUACCACCUUGAACGUGCCUGAUCUUGUCUGAUCUCGGAAGCUAAGCAUGGUCAGGCCUGCUUAGUGCUUGGAUGGGAGACCACCUGGGAAUAUUGGGUGCUGUAGGCU
rnacentral:rRNA from 1 species